CCUACGGGAGGCAGCAGUGGGGAAUAUUGGGCAAUGGAGGAAACUCUGACCCAGCGACGCCGCGUGCGGGAUGAAGGCCUUCGGGUUGUAAACCGCUUUCAGUAGGGAAGAAGCGAAAGUGACGGUACCUACAGAAGAAGCACCGGCUAACUAUGUGCCAGCAGCCGCGGUAAUACAUAGGGUGCAAGCGUUGUCCGGAAUUAUUGGGCGUAAAGAGCUCGUAGGUGGUUCGUCACGUCGGAUGUGAAAAUCUGGGGCUCAACCCCAGACCUGCAUUCGAUACGGGCGAUCUAGAGUGUGGUAGGGGAGACUGGAAUUCCUGGUGUAGCGGUGGAAUGCGCAGAUAUCAGGAGGAACACCAAUGGCGAAGGCAGGUCUCUGGGCCAUUACUGACACUGAGGAGCGAAAGCGUGGGGAGCGAACAGGAUUAGAUACCCUGGUAGUCCACGCCGUAAACGGUGGGCACUAGUUGUGGGAACCUUCCACGGUUUCUGCGACGCAGCUAACGCAUUAAGUGCCCCGCCUGGGGAGUACGAUCGCAAGAUUAAAACUANAGAAUUGACGG
rnacentral:rRNA from 1 species